rnacentral:rRNA from 1 species
UAGCGGGCGAGUGAGGCGGCAAAAGCUCAAAUUUGAAAUCUGGCGCCUUCGGUGUCCGAGUUGUAAUUUGAAGAUUGUAACCUUGGGGUUGGCUCUUGUCUAUGUUUCUUGGAACAGGACGUCACAGAGGGUGAGAAUCCCGUGCGAUGAGAUGCCCAAUUCUAUGUAAGGUGCUUUCGAAGAGUCGAGUUGUUUGGGAAUGCAGCUCUAAGUGGGUGGUAAAUUCCAUCUAAAGCUAAAUAUUGGCGAGAGACCGAUAGCGAACAAGUACAGUGAUGGAAAGAUGAAAAGAACUUUGAAAAGAGAGUGAAAAAGUACGUGAAAUUGUUGAAAGGGAAGGGUUUGAGAUCAGACUCGAUAUUUUGUGAGCCUUGCCUUCGUGGCGGGGUGACCCGCAGCUUAUCGGGCCAGCAUCGGUUUGGGCGGUAGGAUAAUGGCGUAGGAAUGUGACUUUACUUCGGUGAAGUGUUAUAGCCUGCGUUGAUGCUGCCUGCCUAGACCGAGGACUGCGAUUUUAUCAAGGAUGCUGGCAUAAUGAUCCCAAACCGCCCGUCUUGAAACACGGACCAAAA